AGUGAACGCUGGCGGUAGGCCUAACACAUGCAAGUCGAACGGCAGCACAGUAAGAGCUUGCUCUUACGGGUGGCGAGUGGCGGACGGGUGAGGAAUACAUCGGAAUCUACUUUUUCGUGGGGGAUAACGUAGGGAAACUUACGCUAAUACCGCAUACGACCUACGGGUGAAAGCAGGGGAUCUUCGGACCUUGCGCGAUUGAAUGAGCCGAUGUCGGAUUAGCUAGUUGGCGGGGUAAAGGCCCACCAAGGCGACGAUCCGUAGCUGGUCUGAGAGGAUGAUCAGCCACACUGGAACUGAGACACGGCCCAGACUCCUACGGGAGGCAGCAGUGGGGAAUAUUGGACAAAGGGCGCAAGCCUGAUCCAGCCAUACCGCGUGGGUGAAGAAGGCUUUCGGGUUGUAAAGCCCUUUUGUUGGGAAAGAAAAGCAGCAGGUUAAUACCCCGCUGUUCUGACGGUACCCAAAGAAUAAGCACCGGCUAACUUCGUG
rnacentral:rRNA from 1 species